rnacentral:rRNA from 1 species
CAGUAGCCGCGGGAAUACGUAGGGUGCGAGCGUUAAUCGGAAUUACUGGGCGUAAAGCGUGCGCAGGCGGUUUGUUAAGACCGAUGUGAAAUCCCCGGGCUCAACCUGGGAACUGCAUUGGUGACUGGCAAGCUAGAGUAUGGCAGAGGGGGGUAGAAUUCCACGUGUAGCAGUGAAAUGCGUAGAGAUGUGGAGGAAUACCGAUGGCGAAGGCAGCCCCCUGGGCCAAUACUGACGCUCAUGCACGAAAGCGUGGGGAGCAAACAGGAUUAGAUACCCCUGUAGUCCCUGUCUCUUAUAC